GUACCUUUUGCAUCAUGAUUUAGUUAGUAAAAUUUAAGCAAAGCCUACUUUAGUUUAAAACCCCGAAACUAAGUGAGCUACUCCAAGACAGCCUAUCAAUUAGGGCACACCCUUCUCUGUGGCAAAAGAGUGGGAAGAGCUUCGAGUAGCGGUGACAGACCUACCGAACUUAGUUAUAGCUGGUUGCUUGAGAAAUGGAUAGGAGUUCAGCCUUUAGGGUUCUCCCUUCAACCUGGUAUCACCACCAUUCGUUAAACAAGAAGCCUAAGGAGUUAGUCAAAGGGGGUACAGCCCCUUUGAAAAAAGACACAACUUUCCCAGGAGGAUAAAAAUCAAAAUAAACAAGGACAAAAUGUUAGGGUGGGCCUAAGAGCAGCCAUCCCUGCAGAAUGCGUUAAAGCUCAGACAUUUUAAUUAACCCUUCGAUCCUGAUAGACUUAUCUCAACCCCUAAAAUUAUCAAGCCGUCCCAUGCCUCCAUGGGAGUGAUCCUGCUAACAUGAGUAAUAAGAGGGCCCAGGCCCUCUCCCUGGCACGAGUGUACAUCGGAACGAACCGCCACCGAAACUUAACGGCCCCAAUAGAAGAGGGCACUGGACAGCAAGAGACUCAACCAGAAAAAUAUCCAGAAACUAACCGUUAACCCCACACUGGCGUGCCUGAAGGGAAAGGCUAAAAGAAAAAGAAGGAACUCGGCAAACACCUGAAGCCUCGCCUGUUUACCAAAAACAUCGCCUCUUGCAAAACUAACGAAUAAGAGGUCCCGCCUGCCCAGUGACUAUGGGUUCAACGGCCGCGGUAUUUUGACCGUGCAAAGGUAGCGCAAUCACUUGUCUUUUAAAUGGAGACCUGUAUGAAUGGCAUCACGAGGGCUUAGCUGUCUCCUUUUUCCAGCCAAUGAAAUUGAUCUUUCCGUGCAGAAGCGGGAAUAACAACAUAAGACGAGAAGACCCUAUGGAGCUUUAGACACUAAGAUAGUUCACGUCAAACACCCCGGGUUAACGGGCCGAACUAAGUGGACCCUAUCCUAAUGUCUUUGGUUGGGGCGACCCUGGGGAAAUAAAUAACCCCCAUGUGGACUGGAAACACAACAUUUCCAAAACUAAGAGCUAACCGCUCUAAGGAACAGAAUUUCUGACCAUUUUAGAUCCGGCAACGCCGAUCAGCGGACCGAGUUACCCUAGGGAUAACAGCGCAAUCCUCUUUUAGAGCCCAUAUCGACAAGGGGGUUUACGACCUCGAUGUUGGAUCAGGACAUCCUAAUGGUGCAGCCGCUA
rnacentral:rRNA from 1 species